rnacentral:rRNA from 1 species
UACGGGGGGUGCGAGCGUUGUCCGGAAUCACUGGGCGUAAAGGGCGCGUAGGUGGCGUGAUAAGGGUGUGGUGAAAGCCCAGGGCUCAACCCUGGAAUUGCCUUUAAGACUGCAUCGCUUGAAUCAUGGAGAGGUGAGUGGAAUUCCGAGUGUAGAGGUGAAAUUCGUAGAUAUUCGGAAGAACACCAGUGGCGAAGGCGACUCACUGGACAUGUAUUGACGCUGAGGUGCGAAAGCGUGGGGAGCAAACAGG